AUAAUACUCCCUCCGUUCGGAAUUACUUGUCUCGGAAAUGGAUGUAUCUAGAACUAAAAUACAUCUAGAUACAUCCAUUUCUACGACAAGUAAUUCCGAACGGAGGGAGUAUUAA
rnacentral:pre_miRNA from 1 species